GUGAGCAGCCGCUUUUUCGGCCGGGAGAUGGCGGGGAAGGUGAACUGACAAGGUCCUGACUGACGUCUCCUAUAGAGCCGGCUCUAUGUACAACAUGUGAG